rnacentral:rRNA from 1 species
GACAGAGGUGCCGAGCGUUAGGCGGAAUCACUGGGCUUAAAGCGUGUGUAGGCGGGUCGUUAAGUGUCUUGUGAAAUCCCACCGCUCAACGGUGGAACCGCUGGGCAUACUGGCGAUCUUGAGCAGUCCAGGGGCGAGCGGAACAAGCGGUGGAGCGGUGAAAUGCGUAGAUAUCGGGAAGAACACCCGUGGCGAAGGCGGCUCUCUGGAACGCAACUGACGCUGAGACGCGAAAGCGUGGGGAGCAAACAGG